ensembl:lncRNA
GAUAUUAGCUCCCUGAGAUGAGAAGCAGACUUUUGAUCUACAGAAUUGGCUCUGAUGAGCAAUGGAUGAGAAAAAACAGAUGCAGAACGUCUGGUGCACAUGGGAGAUGGUCCAUAACAAGUUUGCUUAUAAUCCUUCCAUCUGCGCGUUAGUCCUGGCAGCAGCAAUGACAGCUCCAUCUACAGCAUGAAAACAACAAAGGUAAACAGCCCAGGAGCUGCUGUAACCGAGAAUGCAGGUGUUGUGAUGAGCUCCCAUCCCAGACGCCCACUGUGGCCCAGCCUCCUUGUUCCCGGUGCCCAGCUCCCGUACACAUAGCCCUCUCACACUCCAGCCGUCUUCUUAUGAUUUGUCUUCAGCAUCAUGUGGCUUCUAUGUGUUUAAGCUUGAGGCGCCGGAGAGCUUUCAAGGAAAGGAGAGACAUGCCAAAAAUUUACACAGACAUGGGCAGAUGUCAGUGCCCCUCUGGAUUCUUAAUGGAAACCAACAAUCAACAAGGCUACACAUUCAGUUAGGAGAAGAGCCAAGAGCUGCUAGCGUGUCACUGCUCAUCUGUAUCUCUAACCACAGAGCAGCUCCGUCUCCACCCCCCAGCCUUUGUGACUUACCCUGCUGUCGUGCUGGCAGUUUGAUUCUGAAUUUUGUCAACCGAAAUCCAGUUACCCACAAAAUGCUACAUUCAUCCAAAAAAGAAAAUAACAUCUUGUAUAUUCCAACCUUUCCGGGUUAUUGCCAUUAUUUAUGACUCUACUAAAAUGUUAAAACUGGCUUCAGAAAUGUCAAACAGAAUAAUGGGAAUGGAG